GAUGAACGCUGGCGGCGUGCCUAAUACAUGCAAGUCGAGCGAACGGACGAGAAGCUUGCUUUUCUGAUGUUAGCGGCGGACGGGUGAGUAACACGUGGAUAACCUACCUAUAAGACUGGGAUAACUUCGGGAAACCGGAGCUAAUACCGGAUAAUAUUUUGAACCGCAUGGUUCAAAAGUGAAAGACGGUCUUGCUGUCACUUAUAGAUGGAUCCGCGCUGCAUUAGCUAGUUGGUAAGGUAACGGCUUACCAAGGCAACGAUGCAUAGCCGACCUGAGAGGGUGAUCGGCCACACUGGAACUGAGACACGGUCCAGACUCCUACGGGGGGCAGCAGUAGGGAAUCUUCCGCAAUGGGCGAAAGCCUGACGGAGCAACGCCGCGUGAGUGAUGAAGGUCUUCGGAUCGUAAAACUCUGUUAUCAGGGAAGAACAUAUGUGUAAGUAACUGUGCACAUCUUGACGGUACCUAAUCAGAAAGCCACGGCUAACUACGUG
rnacentral:rRNA from 1 species